AGGAGCAGUGUGGUAUCUAUGGUCCACCAUCACUUCAAGCAUUAUGACUAUAGAUAAAAGAAGGUUUCAUUACAUAUGGACAACUAUAUUGGACAAAAUAAGAAGUGUUCUAAUAAGUUAUGGAAUGUGUCUUGUUAUGAUGGGUCUACAUGAUUGACUUGGAGUACAGCCUGAUGGGGACUGGGCUUGCAGAAUUCAGUCCUGAACAUGUUUAGAAUGUCAGAAUGACCUAGUAUAGUAUUCUUGAAGGAUUAUAACUUCAACACAGAGACGGGGAUUAAUAUUUUAGACAGGGGAUUGGCAUGACAGGCAAAUUCUCCAACUGUAUUACCAUUCCUGA
rnacentral:lncRNA from 1 species